rnacentral:rRNA from 1 species
GUCUAUGGUCAUGCCACCCUGAAAAAGCCGGAUCCCAUCUGAUCUCAGAAGCUAAGGCAGGGUUGGGCCUGGUUAGUACUCGGAUGGGAGACCACCUAGGAAGACCAGGUGCUAUAGGCG